rnacentral:rRNA from 1 species
UAAUAUAUCGGAACGUGCCCUGUAGCGGGGGGAGUAACCUAUCGAAAGAUGGACUAAUACCGCAUACGCUCUACGGAGGAAAGCGGGGGUCGGCAAGACCUCGCACUAUAGGAGCGGCCGAUAUCUGAUUAGCUAGUUGGUGGGGUAAAGGCCUACCAAGGCAUCGAUCAGUAGCUGGUCUGAGAGGACGACCAGCCACACUGGAACUGAGACACGGUCCAG